AUUGAACGCUGGCGGCAGGCCUAAUACAUGCAAGUCGAACGAGUGGCGGACGGGUGAGUAAUGUAUGGGAAACUGCCUGACGGAGGGGGAUAACUACUGGAAACGGUAGCUAAUACCGCAUACCAUCAGAUGUGCCCAGGUGGGAUUAGCUAGUGGGUGGGGUAACGGCUUACCAAGGCGACGAUCCCUACCUGGUCUGAGAGGAUGACCGGCCACACUGGAACUGAGACACGGUCCAGACUCCUACGGGAGGCAGCAGUGGGGAAUAUUGCACAAUGGGCGCAAGCCUGAUGCAGCCAUGCCGCGUGUAUGAAGAAGGCCUUCGGGUUGUAAAGUACUUUCAGCGGGGAGGCGUUACCCGCAGAAGAAGCACCGGCUAACUCCGUGCCAGCAGCCGCGGUAAUUC
rnacentral:rRNA from 1 species